GCGGUUGAGACGGUUGGCAAAAUAACCAUAAGACUUUAAUAUGAAUUUUGGAACGGUUGACGGUUGACAGCAUUGAUGAAAAAAAUAGCAUUAAAUAUUUUUUUAUUAAAUAUUUUUUUAUAGAAGUGGCAGCCGAUGUAUCAUCUCUUUCCGCGUCUGACAUAAUUUCUUGCGGAACUCCUUAAUGAUAUAUCGUAACACCUAUACCCGCUUUCCUCAACAUAAACAGCGACUAGCUGCUUCAUUCACCUCACUAUCGGCAGAUGAAAUGGCACCGUCUUUAAUAAACAUUCUAGAUUGACUCUAGGGGCAUAAUUAUCAACAUGUUGUUGUUGUCCGUCAUUCUGCGUGGUCGGAGUUUGGACAUGUUCAGGUAGUUGCCGGGAUUUCG